rnacentral:RNase_P_RNA from 1 species
GGAGCAGGCCGGAUGGCCGCGGUCCCGUGAAACGCGGGACUGAGGAAAGUCCGAGCUCCACAGGGCAGGAUGCUCGCUAACAGCGAGUGGGGGCGACCCCAAGGAAAGUGCAACAGAAAACACACCGCCGGAAUCCCCGUAACGCGGGGAUGAGCCUGCGCUGUAAGAGGCGCGCCGGUAAGGGUGAAAAGGUGCGGUAAGAGCGCACCGGCGGCGGGGCGACCCGUCGGCCUGGCAAACCCCAUCCGGAGCAAGAUCAAAUAGAGGGGCGAUGGAGCGGCCCGCUCCCAAUGCCCCCGGGUUAGAUCGCUAGAGGCGUCCGGCAACGGGCGUCCCAGAGGAAUGGCCAUCUCGGUCCCGCGAGCAGCGGGGUCAGACAGAACUCGGCUUACAGACCUGCUCCACUA